rnacentral:rRNA from 1 species
AGCCAGACUCCUACGGGAGGCAGCAGUGGGGAAUAUUGCACAAUGGGGGGAACCCUGAUGCAGCGACGCCGCGUGGGUGAAGGAGUACUUCGGUACGUAAAGCCCUAUCAGCAGGAAAGAAAAUGACGGUACCUGACUAAGAAGCCCCGGCUAACUACGUGCCAGCAGCCGCGGUAAUACGUAGGGGGCAAGCGUUAUCCGGAUUUACUGGGUGUAAAGGGGGCGCAGACGGCGAUGCAAGCCAGGAGUGAAAGCCCGGGGCCCAACCCCGGGACUGCUCUUGGAACUGCGUGGCUGGAGUGCAGGAGGGGCAGGCGGAAUUCCUAGUGUAGCGGUGAAAUGCGUAGAUAUUAGGAGGAACACCAGUGGCGAAGGCGGCCCGCUGGACGAUGACUGACGCUGAGGCUCGAAAGCGUGGGGAGCAAACAGGAUUAGAUACCCUUGUAGAU